rnacentral:rRNA from 1 species
UGAACGCUAGCGGCAGGCCUAACACAUGCAAGUCGAGGGGUAACAGAGAGUGCUUGCACUUUGCUGACGACCGGCGCACGGGUGCGUAACGCGUAUACAAUCUACCUUUUGCUGAGGGAUAGCCCAGAGAAAUUUGGAUUAACACCUCAUAGUAUAUAGAAUUGGCAUCGAUUUUAUAUUAAAGGUUACGGCAAAAGAUGAGUAUGCGUUCUAUUAGCUAGAUGGUGUGGUAACGGCACACCAUGGCAACGAUAGAUAGGGGCCCUGAGAGGGGGAUCCCCCACACUGGUACUGAGACACGGACCAGACUCCUACGGGAGGCAGCAGUGAGGAAUAUUGGGCAAUGGAGGCAACUCUGACCCAGCCAUGCCGCGUGCAGGAAGACUGCCCUAUGGGUUGUAAACUGCUUUUAUACAGGAAGAAACAGCUCUACGUGUAGAGCCUUGACGGUACUGUAAGAAUAAGGAUCGGCUAACUCC